AUUGAACGCUGGCGGCAGGCCUAACACAUGCAAGUCGAGCGAGCGGCGGACGGGUGAGUAAUGUAUGGGGACUGCCCGAUAGAGGGGGAUAACUACUGGAAACGGUAGCUAAUACCGCAUACUAUCGGAUAACCCAUAUGGGUUUAGCUAGUAGGGGAGGUAAUGGCUCAACUAGGCGACGAUCCCUAGCUGGUCUGAGAGGAUGAUCAGACAGACUGGGACUGAGACACUGCCCAGACGCCUACGGAGGCAGCGUGGUGGAUUCGUGCACAAUGGGGGCAAUCUUGAUGCAGCCAUGCCGCGUGUAUGAAGAAGGCCCUAGGGUUGUAAAGUACUGUCAGUCGGGAGGCGUUACCGACAGAAGAAGCACCGGCUAACUCCGUGCCAGCAGCCGCGGUAAUAC
rnacentral:rRNA from 1 species